rnacentral:rRNA from 1 species
UACGUAGGGCGCAAGCGUUGUCCGGAAUUAUUGAGCGUAAAGAGCUCGUAGGUGGUUUGUUACGUCUGCUGUGAAAACCUAGGGCUUAACCCUGGGCCUGCAGUGGAUACGGGCAGACUAGAGGUAGGUAGGGGAGAAUGGAAUUCCCGGUGUAGCGGUGAAAUGCGCAGAUAUCGGGAAGAACACCCGUGGCGAAGGCGGCACUCUGGGACGGUACUGACGCUGAGACGCGAAAGCGUGGGGAGCGAACAGG